AGAUGCACCUGCGGGAUAUAGAAGUUCCCAGGCUAGGGGUUGAAUCAGAGCUGCAACAGCCGGGCUACGCCACAGCCAUGCCAGAUCCCAGCUGCAUCUGCAAGCUAUGUGGCAGCCUGUGGCAACACCAGAUCCUUAACCCACUGAGGGAGGCCAGGGAUCAAACCUGUAUCCUUACAGACACUACGUCGGGUUCUUAACCCACUGAACCACAAUGGGAACUCUAGAAGCAGCCUCUGAAUUAAUAGAUUUCUCAAGUCAUUGGUGAAACCAAACUAAUUAGACAUCAGUAACACUUGGUGUAUUUUACUUGUGCGGAAUUUAAAGGACCUCACUUUCACUCUUAGCAACACACACACUUAAAACUCAAGAAGAGUCACUAAAGUUAGCUCAAGAAUUGAGGGGGAUAAAAAUGCUGAUAUUAAACAGUACAGCACUGUGUAACUGUCCUCCUCUGAGGAAAGAGGAGGACAACAGAUAGCAACAGACAACGGGAAAAAAUCCAGCAACUAAGGCAACCUCUAGCAGAUGGGCCAUGUCGUCCAGACUCUGAAUGGGUUGUUCCCAGCCUUUUAAGUCACCUGAAAUGAUGUUAUGAAUGAGUGCUGCCCUAAAUCAGCAUCAUCCAAGGGCACUCAGCACUUGAGUAAGGCUGUUCUUCCCCUGGGAAGCUCUCAGCAGGGAGGUAUUACUCUUGUCUUAAGAAGACACAUUUCUGACUGAGAAGACUAUGCAGAGAUCCAACUCGGGAUUACAUUUAAUGGUAUUUAACAAGGGGUCUACUGGGUUGGAAAAGGCAAACAUCUCUGAGUGGUAGACUGAACUCAACCCCAAAGGAGGAAAAUAUGGGCCAAAAGCUCGGAGGAAGAUUCCAUUGCCAGGCUUAGUUGCAAGAGGAAGGAAAGCAACCUCAGCAUCCUUGGGAUUUAGGCAGAGAAGGCAAGAGAUUAUCCAACCACUUAGACUUAAGCUAGAACACCUGCAAGGUGGUAGCAAGGUCUGCUUUGCAUUCCUUCCUCCAUUACAAAACAAAGGAGGGGCGCUGAUGAGACUUACUCCCUCAGGGAAAAGCAGACGCACCCGUAAAAUUUUAAAGGCUAAUUUAAAAGACAAGCAGCAACAUACUGGAUGUGCUUUCCUGAUACUAAUUCUAACCUCAGCUUUCUGCUUUGCUUUUUCUUUCUUUUUUUUUUUUUUUUUUUUUUUUUUUUUGCUUUUUAGGGCUGCACCUGUGGCACAUGGAGGUUCCCAGGCUAGAGUUGCCUAACAGGCAGGAGGACAGAGCCUCUUAUCCAUGGUAAUGAAGAAAGGAAAAGCUCGGGUUGGGAAAGAGGCCUAAGGCCAUUCCCUGCUGCUCAGGCAGACAGGCUAGCGUUUUGGACCGGGCUGGGGGUAGAGCAGAAGUGAGGCGAGGAGAAGGUCCAGCUGCUUUCCCCAGGGAGGUACGUUUGCUGUGUGGCUGAUUGAAAAAAAGAGGAAGGGGAUUUAUCACAUGUUCUUGUAAGUUUCCAGGCAGAAUUUAAAGUCAUUCCAUUGGCUCAAAUUGAAAAGAUCCUCUUUCCAACAUGUCCCAACAUCCCAGCAGAAGACAUGCUGGUGAGCCAAAAGGGACUUGGCAGGAGAAAAGAGGGGAAAGCCAGUACAGAGCAUCUGUGCUACCAGUGAAGUGCACCAGGGACAGGACGAUGAGGUAAUAAGCUCCUAAAAGCCUCUCCAGCAUGUAAGUUACUCUUAGGUUUGCCUCUGGACCAUUGCCCUCCUCUGUCAACAAGGAUUCAUU
rnacentral:lncRNA from 1 species